UUCUUGCUUUUGAACAUUUUUCGUCACAACAGCUUUCUUUUCUAAAUUAUCUUUAAAAGGAGAGGAGACGUCAAAAGUUUGCUUCAAACACGUGCGUCGCAAAGUGGUCAAUAAAUUCUGUAUGUGACAUUUAGCGGAAGCCAUUUAACCAUAUCAUUUUGUCAAACAAUUCAAUCAACACCUUUAUUAAUUAGUCCUUUGUUGUCGAUAGUUAUAAAAUGCAAUCAGCUGAUUAUUGAUUUUCUGUUCAAAUCUUAAUGAGGUCAAGGUGAAUUCCGAGUAUUGUCUGAUCGGGUAAAGUCCGAGAAACUUGAAAAAAGUAAAUAAACAAGAUGGAGGAAAAUAAAUCGUUAAAUAUAUUUCUUUCGCCAAAUUCUUUCGCAAAUGACGAAUUUUUAUCGCCACAAUUAUUAUUUUUUCGCAAAUUGCGAAAAUGGCGACCGCCAGCGGAAACCCUG
rnacentral:lncRNA from 1 species